UAGGCGGAUAUUUAAGUUAGGGGUGAAAUCCCAGGGCUCAACCCUGGAACUGCCUCUAAUACUGGGUAUCUCGAGUCCGAGAGAGGUGAGUGGAAUUCCGAGUGUAGAGGUGAAAUUCGUAGAUAUUCGGAGGAACACCAGUGGCGAAGGCGGCUCACUGGCUCGGUACUGACGCUGANGUGCGAAAGCGUGGGGAGCAAACAGGAUUAGAUACCCUGGUAGUCCACGCCGUAAACUAUGAGAGCUAGCCGUCGGCAAGUUUACUUGUCGGUGGNCGCAGCUAACGCAUUAAGCUCUCCGCCUGGGGAGUACGGUCGCAAGAUUAAAACUCAAAGGAAUUGACGGGGGCCCNCACAAGCGGU
rnacentral:rRNA from 1 species